UACGGAGGGAGCUAGCGUUGUUCGGAAUUACUGGGCGUAAAGCGCACGUAGGCGGCUUUGUAAGUUAGAGGUGAAAGCCUGGAGCUCAACUCCAGAAUUGCCUUUAAGACUGCAUCGCUUGAAUCCGGGAGAGGUGAGUGGAAUUCCGAGUGUAGAGGUGAAAUUCGUAGAUAUUCGGAAGAACACCAGUGGCGAAGGCGGCUCACUGGACCGGUAUUGACGCUGAGGUGCGAAAGCGUGGGGAGCGAACAGG
rnacentral:rRNA from 1 species